rnacentral:rRNA from 1 species
UCCGGCUGGGGAGCGGAACGGCAUGGGAGGGCCGGCCGCAGCGGGUGACAGCCCCGUACGCGAACCCAGACCGGACGGCGCGACGCGGUCCCUGAGUAGGGCCGGGCACGUGAAACCCGGUCCGAACCUGGGUGGACCACCAUCCAAGCCUGAGUACUACCCUGUGACCGAUAGCGCACCAGUACCGUGAGGGAAAGGUGAAAAGCACCCCGGGAGGGGAGUGAAACAGUACCUGAAACCGUGCGCCCACGAGCAGUCGGAGCACCUUUAUGGUGUGACGGCGUGCCUUUUGUAGAAUGAGCCAGCGAGUCGCUGGCGCGGGGCGAGGUUAACCGAAAGG